rnacentral:rRNA from 1 species
AUUGAACGCUGGCGGCAGGCCUAACACAUGCAAGUCGAGCGGAAGAACGGUGAUUGCUCGCGCUUUCGGGGGGCGACGGGCGGGUGGUUCAUAAGUAUAUCGCUGUCUGCUUGGGCUUGGGUGCGAACGCGGGCGCUCAUACCGUAUUAGCCCAUACGGCGUACGGGUGAGAUCAGCGGACCUUCCGCUCUUGGCUGAGCCUAUGUGGCGAUGUCGGAUUGGCUAGUUGGCGGGGUAAAGGCCCACCAAGGCGACGAUCCGUAGCUGGUCUGAGAGGAUGAUCAGCCACACUGGAACUGAGACACGGUCCAGACUCCUACGGGAGGCAGCAGUGGGGAAUAUUGGACAAUGGGCGCAAGCCUGAUCCAGCCAUGCCGCGUGUGUGAAGAAGGUCUUCGGAUUGUAAAGCCCUUUUAUUGGGGAAGAAAAGCAGUAAGUUAAUACCUCGCUGUUUUGACGGUACCAAAAGAAUAAGCACCGGCUAACUUCGUG